UAUUAGAUCUAGACAUUAAGACUACACUCCGCGUUUUGCGCUUGGUCCUUGUUCAACAUAAGUGUGAGGAGUUCUACAUAGUUUUCAAACCCCAAUUUCCAUGGCAUAGAGAACAUUCUUAUGAGUGACUGUCUUGCAAUGUUCUCAUUUUCUUUAGAAGCUAUGAUGCUGAUGUAUUCAAAGGCACAUUUUUGUAUUAUUUCUUUUGCAUUAUCAGGAUUUUUUCCUUUGCUUGGGAUCAGGCGCUGAGCCUGUACCCGACGAGGGGGCGCAGUUGCCCGUACUGGCUCCGUCGAAGUCUUGAGAACCGUCGAGUAGCAAAUGGGAAAGUUGCAGAGCCGAUCAGAGAAGAGACUAAAGAUGAGACGAAGAUGACAGAAUGAAGACAAGAUCCCUUUUCUUCUUCUUCUUCCAAUUUUUUUUUUUUUUUUUUUUUUUUUUUUUUGGUUUGGGCCGAAUUGCUGGGCUGAAGCUUAUUGAUUAAGGUUAUUUUUUGCCCAAUUUUGAUUAGCACAAAUGUCCAAUACCAUUAAUAAUUGGAAUUGGAUCAACCAAAGUCCCAAACCACUAAGAUGACUACUGACUGCUGAAGCCUGAAAGCGUGAAAGUCUUAAACCACAAAGGCAGAGGGCAGGGGUGAAACGCGAAAUAGAGAAAUUUCCAAAUCCAAUCCCCAAAUCGUGAAAGAGAAAGCCAAACCCUUUUCUACUUUUCCUCAUUUCUUAACUCUCCAAUCCACACGGCGUACUCCAUUCCAAUCUAUAAUUCCAAUUUCAAUUCGAAUUCGAAGAAGAGGGAACAACACAAAUUCAUUGGAGUUUGGACAUUUGAUGCAAUUUCGAAAUCUCUGCUUUCGAAAAAUUCGCUCAUCUAUUACUAUUAGCCUGUAUGCUGAUUGCUAAAUUGCUGAUGCUGCACGAGUGCACUGCCUGCACAGAUGUGAGACAAUGUGUUUUACAACUUCUGUUGCCGACUAUCGAGCCAAGGAGUACCCUAAGUCUCUCUGUCAACGGCAGUUCGUGCUUACUCAAAAUCUUGGAUCUACCAUUGAUGGAAAUCUGAGAUGCCUCAGAAGUAUGGAUGAAGUAAUGAAGAAGGAUAGUUGUGGAGAUGAUGUGGUGAUGGAGGGUUCUUUGAAGUUGUCGGAGACGUUAGCAGGCUCGACGGUGCUAGUAGUUCUAGUAGAGCGAAGGAGGUGGCGGUCGUGAAUUGUGGGGAUUCUAGAGCAGUUAUUUGCUCCGGUGGUGUUGCAAUGCCAUUGUCAAGUGAUUAUAAGGUGACAUAUCCUUUUUUUUCUUCGUAAAAUAUGUAAUUUAUAGUUUUAUAACGAGGUUUUGUAUGCCCAUGUAUGCUUUAUUUAUAAAAA